UACGUAGGGUGCAAGCGUUAAUCGGAAUUACUGGGCGUAAAGCGUGCGCAGGCGGUUAUAUAAGACAGUUGUGAAAUCCCCGGGCUCAACCUGGGAACUGCAUCUGUGACUGUAUAGCUAGAGUACGGUAGAGGGGGAUGGAAUUCCGCGUGUAGCAGUGAAAUGCGUAGAUAUGCGGAGGAACACCGAUGGCGAAGGCAAUCCCCUGGACCUGUACUGACGCUCAUGCACGGAAGCGUGGGGAGCAAACAGG
rnacentral:rRNA from 1 species